rnacentral:rRNA from 1 species
AUUGAACGCUGGCGGCAUGCUUUACACAUGCAAGUCGAACGGCAGCACGGGUGCUUGCACCUGGUGGCGAGUGGCGAACGGGUGAGUAAUGCAUCGGAACGUAUCCAAUAAUGGGGGAUAACGCACCGAAAGGUGUGCUAAUACCGCAUACGCCCUGAGGGGGAAAGUGGGGGACCGUAAGGCCUCACGCUAAUGGAGCGGCCGAUGCCUGAUUAGCUAGUUGGUGAGGUAAAGGCUCACCAAGGCGACGAUCAGUAGCUGGUCUGAGAGGACGACCAGCCACACUGGGACUGAGACACGGCCCAGACUCCUACGGGAGGCAGCAGUGGGGAAUUUUGGACAAUGGGCGCAAGCCUGAUCCAGCCAUGCCGCGUGAGUGAAGAAGGCCUUCGGGUUGUAAAGCUCUUUCGCAAGGAAAGAAAACUUAUCCCCUAAUACGGGAUGAGGAUGACGGUACCUUGAUAAGAAGCACCGGCUAACUACGUGCCAGCAGCCGCGGUAAUAC